rnacentral:rRNA from 1 species
GACGAACGCUGGUGGCGUGCUUAACACAUGCAAGUCGAACGGGAUUUAGUAAACAGAAGCCUCGGUGGAAGAUUACUAAUGAGAGUGGCGAACGGGUGAGUAACGCGUGAGCAACCUGCCUAUGACAGUGGGAUAGCCUCGGGAAACCGGGAUUAAUACCGCAUAAAAUCGUAGAAACACAUGUUUUAACGGUCAAAGAUUUAUCGGUCAUAGAUGGGCUCGCGUCUGAUUAGCUAGUUGGUGAGAUAACAGCCCACCAAGGCGACGAUCAGUAGCCGGUCUGAGAGGAUGAACGGCCACAGUGGAACUGAGACACGGUCCAAACUCCUACGGGAGGCAGCAGUGGGGAAUAUUGCACAAUGGGGGAAACCCUGAUGCAGCGACGCCGCGUGAACGAAGAAGGUAUUCGUAUCGUAAAGUUCUGUCCUAUGGGAAGUUAAUGACAGUACCAUAGAAGAAAGCUCCGGCUAAAUACGUG